GUGACAGCCCUGUAGACUGAAGUCUUCUAUUUAUCAACAGAACAGGCAACAGCAAGGGCAGCUGCAGUAUAAGCGUACCCUGUGGUUGUCCCACCAAAGUGCGUCAACCCUGACCUAAGGGGACUCACUUCCAGGGGUGAGAAGGUAGUUCAGUCUCAAUGCCCCGUCAGUCCUGGGCCUCU
rnacentral:sRNA from 1 species